AUUGAACGCUGGCGGCAGGCCUAACACAUGCAAGUCGAGCGGAUGAAGGGAGCUUGCUCCUGGAUUCAGCGGCGGACGGGUGAGUAAUGCCUAGGAAUCUGCCUGGUAGUGGGGGAUAACGUCCGGAAACGGGCGCUAAUACCUCAUACGUCCUGAGGGAGAAAUUGGGGGAUCUUCGGACCUCACGCUAUCAGAUGAGCCUAGGUCGGAUUAGCUAGUUGGUGGGGUAAAGGCCUACCAAGGCGACGAUCCGUAACUGGUCUGAGAGGAUGAUCAGUCACACUGGAACUGAGACACGGUCACGAACCCUACGGGAGGCAGCAGUGGGGAAUAUUGGACAUUGGGCGAAAGCCUGAUCCAGCCCUACCGAGGGUGUGAAGAAGGUCUUCGGCUUGUAAAGCAAUUUAAGUUGGGAGGAAGGGCAGUAAGUUAAUACCUUGCUGUUUUGACGUUACCAACAGAAUAAGCACCGGCUAACUUCGUG
rnacentral:rRNA from 1 species